AUGGGCAAAAAUUUUUUCAUCCCCACUUCCAAAUCUGCCUUCUUUAAAGAGGAUUUAAUUUAAUGAUUUAUGGAGUGUGUAACCGAUGGCCAGAUUGAAUGUUCAUUCAAUUUCUUGCAUUGAAGAUGUGGAUUGAAUCCCAUUUAACCUUUACAAGAAACUGAAGAAGUUAAACGCCCCUUUUAUUUACUCAUCAUCACCCUGCAACCGUUUACAUCAUCAGAAGCAGCAAUAGUUACAAUCAACAAAUCCAUAAGCAUUUCUCUGUGUCUCCCCAAAUUCCCAAUUUCUCAUACCUGAAGACAAAAUCUGGCAUUUCUGACCCCCAUAGGGGUUGGUCGAUGGCGGUUAUAGGUGAGGGGAACGCCGGUGGUGAUAAUAUCGCAAACCUGGUUAGGAUUUUAAUUAGAGGUGCUCGAUUGCCGUGAAUAGAAGGGUGGCAACAGUUAAAGUUGAUGAAGGACUGUGAACAUGGCAAAAGGAUGGCGGCGGAGCCGGAGAAAGGUGGAUGAGGUGAUUGCGGAGGUCCGGCGAUGGGGGCGGCGAUAAUGGCUUCGGUCAUGACCCUGCGGAUAUUGCUGGACUUGAAUCUGCACUAAAUAACCACAAAGUGUUAGUCUUUUCUUCAUGGAGUGAUUGCUUUUUAUCCAUGGAGUGAUUGCUUUUUAUCUGUUGGAGAUGAUUCGUGUGUCGCUUUAGCUUCACUUGACACUUUACGGGUCGAGAGAAUGCAUAGCAACAUCUGCAUGGUGGCGAGGGAGGGACGACUGACUGAACAAUUUGCUACUUCAGUGCAAAAUAUUCUUACCGUUGAUAUGAGGUACAAUCCUUUAUCAUAUUUCCAAUUUAUUUGUAUUUAUCUUACUAGCUAUAUGCAACACUUGAUGAACUUUUUCAGAUACUUCUGUUUGAAACUGAAUUUGACAUAAAUAUCAUACAUUUUUUGUUUAUAUUAUAUAAAUUGUCAACUUACAAGCUGCAUAAUGCUUUCCCGAUCAUAACCUAGUAGUUUGGCGGCGUUCACUGAACUUACUAUCAAGGUAUGUAUGUUAUGAGGUUAUAUAUACGCACACGCCCACACACUUUUUUGUUGUAGUUGUUGUUGUUGUUGUUAUUGUUAUUAUUACAAUGAUGGUGUUUUAAUGUUGUAUGGCGCUGGACAUCAUUCGUCUGUGGAAUGGAUUCUGCUAAACAAGAGAGGCAACCACUAUUGAUAAGCCAGAGACCGGAAUGGUCCAAUGCUACUGAGUUGUUCCCAAACGACGACCCUAAUUCCAUCAUUCGAUUGCAUACUUGGAAUGGUUUGCCGAGAUCAUGGGCUACUUUCGAGCCAUGUAUUUGUUUGAGGGCACUUCGAGCAGUGUAGCUUCAAGAACUUAAAUCUCUGUGGCUUCCAUCCCUGAUCCCGCCGGUUUCCAGUCUCUCCAUGGCUUCAAUCCUUGGCUCCCCGUGUGUCUCUCUUCUUUCUCUCACGGGACCAACAAGUCAAUUCCAAUGGUUUUCUUUAUCACUGAUGGCACUGCUGAAAAUGAAAGACAGAUCUGUGAAGUAAUGCAGAAGCAACAAAAAACAAAGGAUCAGAACUGUUUCCUCGUAUUCACACGUUUGGUAUAGGUUCAUUCUGCAAUCAUUACUUCUUGCGAAUGCUAGCGAUGAUGAGCAAGGGACAUUAUGAUGCCUCUUAUGACACGGAGAUAUAUACGAGAAGCCACUGAUGACUAUUGUGGGCUUCUAAACCUGCUUCUUCAAUAAUGACAUGUAAUUGAUGGUCCAGAUGAUCUGGAAAUUUACCCUUCAACCAUUCCAGAUCUUUGUUAUAAUAGACCAUUGAUCAUAUCAGGGAGAUAGAAAAACUGGAAGCUAAGGGCACCAUUGCUGAUAUGAGUAACUUCACUAUUGACAUAGAAGUACAACACACAAAUGACAUACCACUUGAAAAGGCUGAUGUGCGUUUUUGUUUGAGGCUUUCGUUUGUGAAGAUGGUUUGGUGGACCAUUUGUGUUUGGGUUAAGGUCUUAACAGCGCUUUCGAAAUCUAUGACAUGAUUUUAACUUCAACUUAACUUGAACAGGACUCCCUCAAUAGGAGUAUUGGUAAUUUCCUUCCAAAUCAUACACAAGCAGUUUGUGAAUUUUAGAGAGAAGUCGACAUCCAUUUGGCCUAUUGGCAACAGAGAUGCAGAGGAAAUCUUUGAAGAGGUAUUAUUUGAUAGGAUUGGGCAAUCCGCUUCAGAUGCUCGGACGUUUUCAAGCCGUGAAAGAGAGUUAGAUUGAUUUCAAUUAUGUUACAAUAUUUGUCUUAGUGGUAUUUCUUUAUAUACCUAAAGAGACAGAUCAACUUUUUAAUGGGUUUCGUAAGAAAUGGGAUUCGGGUAGUCAUGAUGAAACCGUGUGUUGAUGGAGUUUACAAGGUGAUUUACACUCUGUCGCAUCGUGCGAGCUCCUGACUAGGUUGUACAACAACCUCCCAUGAUAUCAUCACUUCACUACCACUUGAUUGCCUGAUGUCAUGUCGUGUUGUCGACUCCGCCGCAACGCACGGGUUUCCCACUAUUGCAUACAAAUGGACCACCAUCU
rnacentral:lncRNA from 1 species